GUGCUCGCUUCAGCAGCACAUAUACUAAAAUUGGAACAAUACAGAGAUUAGCAUGGCCCCUGCGCAAGGAUGACAUGCAAGUUCAUGAUGCGUUCCCUAUUCUU
ensembl:snRNA U6 U6 spliceosomal RNA